rnacentral:rRNA from 1 species
UACGUAGGGUGCAAACGUUGCUCGGAAUUAUUGGGCGUAAAGCGCACGUAGGCGGCUUAGCAAGUCGGAAGUGAAAUCCCUCGGCUCAACCAAGGAAGUGCUUUCGAAACUGCUGAGCUUGAGUACUAAAGAGGAUCGCGGAAUUCCCGGUGUAGAGGUGAAAUUCGUAGAUAUCGGGGGGAACACCAGUGGCGAAGGCGGCGAUCUGGGUAGAUACUGACGCUGAGGUGCGAAAGCGUGGGGAGCAAACAGG